GUGCGGGAUUCUAGGCUCCCCUGUGACAGCCGCGGCAGGAAGCAGGCGGGCGCUCCCCGGCCACAGGCCUGUUGUUCUCGGAAGGGAGAAAGCUGGACGUUUCCCCACGUAACUCCCAGCUCUGGGCCUAGAGUGUGUGCAUGGCGAAGUCCCCGGAGAACUCUACCCUGGAGGAGAUUCUGGGGCAGUAUCAACGGAGUCUCCGGGGUUGUUCUUGCAGAACAUGCCAGUAGAAGCAUUCACCAACUGAAAUGUGCCCUGAAAGAAGGCGAUGUCACUAUUGGAGAAGAUGCACCAAAUCUUUCUUUUAGCACCAGUGUGGGAAACGAGGAUGCCAGGACAGCCUGGCUCGAAUUACAACAGAGCCAUGCUGUUAAUCAGCUCAAAGAUUUGUUGCGCCAACAAGCAGAUAAGGAAAGUGAAGUAUCUCCGUCAAGAAGAAGAAAAAUGUCCCCCUUGAGGUCAUUAGAACAUGAGGAAACCAAUAUGCCUACUAUGCACGACCUUGUUCAUACUAUUAAUGACCAGUCUCAAUAUAUUCAUCAUUUAGAGGCAGAAGUUAAGUUCUGCAAGGAGGAACUCUCUGGAAUGAAAAAUAAAAUACAAGUAGUUGUGCUUGAAAACGAAGGGCUCCAGCAACAGCUAAAAUCUCAAAGACAAGAGGAGACACUGAGGGAACAAACACUUCUGGAUGCAUCC
rnacentral:sRNA from 1 species